GAGCCAGAUGCUACAAUGCCAGUGAUGCAGAACUCAAUUCUACCGCCUGGUUUGUCAGUAACAUCGGCAGCUUUGUGACACUUAUCACUCUGGAUGAUCUCACAUCCUUCGUCUCCACCAGUCAAAUUGGAGUGUUUUUGUUGGAUCAAGCCAACCUGGAGCUCUUUAACAACACAGCAAUUCCAGAAAAUGUAACCAACUACUACAUCUCACAGCUUUUUGAAUUCAACCCAAACUUCAAUCCAGUGAAGCUUCCAGGCCUUUUCCUGUGCUCUCCUGAGGUCCCAUCUUUAGCAUAUUCUUCUGUAAAUCAAAGUGAUACCAUCUCCAUCUUGAAUAAGCUGAAGAAGUUCUGCAAUGGAACAGAGGACGCUGAGGUACCAGCU